rnacentral:rRNA from 1 species
GACGAACGCUGGCGGCGUGCCUAACACAUGCAAGUCGAACGAGGUCCAAGGAAGCUUGCUUCCUGAAGACCUAGUGGCGAACGGGUGAGUAACACGUGAGAAACCUGCCUCGGAGUGGGGAAUAACUCGGGGAAACUCGAGCUAAUACCGCAUACCUUCACAUGAUCGCAUGGUCGAGUGAAGAAAGAAUUUCGCUCUGAGAGGGUCUCGCGGCCUAUCAGCUUGUUGGUGGGGUAACGGCCUACCAAGGCAACGACGGGUAGCUGGUUUGAGAGAACGAUCAGCCACACUGGGACUGAGACACGGCCCAGACUCCUACGGGAGGCAGCAGUGGGGAAUCUUGCGCAAUGGGCGAAAGCCUGACGCAGCAACGCCGCGUGCGGGAUGACGGCCUUCGUGGUUGUAAACCGCUUUCAGCAGGGACGAAAAUAGACGUACCUGCAGAAGAAGCCCGGCUAACUACGUGCCAGCAGCCGCGGUAAU